GUCAAUGAACAACAUUCUCACAUAGGUGUUUCUUUUGUACAUAGGUGUUCCUUUUGAUUGAGAUUCCGUCAUCUGUGGAUCUGUUGUGGUGGUAUGCGAAUGUAACAAGAUAGGGGGAGAUCGCGAACGUCAGGUCUUCCCAGUAUGAAAAUGUGAUGCAAGGGCUUUUGCCAUCGACAGCCAUCAGUAUCAUUAAGCCCUGCACAACUACCGUGCUGGUUCUCAUUUAACAACAGGAAUAAAUAAUGCUCAACUGGGACCACUGGCUGAUGUGAUUUAUUAGGAAAAAAAAACACAACGCAAGGAGAGUACGCUAUACAUCUGUUACACUGGUGCCGUGACUCGUCUUCUUGUCUUCGCCGGACGUCACGUGGAGGGAUCCGAGACCCGGCUUCAAGAAGUACUGCGGUUGCUGAUGCACGCCAGAGGCCUAGGUUUCGAAGUCUGCACAAGUGGAAUUCUCAGGGAGCUCCUGGUAGCAUGAAUAGGGGGAGAUCGCGAACGUCAGGUCUUCCCAGUAUGAAAAUGUGAUGCAAGGGCUUUUGCCAUCGACAGCCAUCAGUAUCAUUAAGCCCUGCACAACUACCGUGCUGUUUCUCAUUUAACAACAGGACCUGAGCCCUAGGACCAUGCCUCAGGACUACCUGGUAUGAUGACUCCUUGCUGUCCCCAGUCCACCUGGCCGUGCUGCUGCUCCAGUUUAAACUGUUCUGCCUGCGGCUAUGGAACCCUGACCUGUUCACCGGACGUGCUUGUUGCACCCUCGACAACUACUAUGAUUAUUAUUAUUUGACCAUGCUGGUCAUUUAUGAACAUUUUAACAUCUUGACCAUGUUCUGUUAUAAUAUCCACCCUGCACAGCCAGAAGAGGCCUGGCCACCCCUCAUAGCCUGGUUCCUCUCUAGGUUUCUUCCUAGGUUUUUGGCCUUUCU
rnacentral:lncRNA from 1 species